UUCCACGGGAGUUAUCGAGUAGGAGAUCUUCCCGGAGCCCUAUAAAGCGCUCACGCCACCCUGCAGCUUCCCCUUUUGUCCCCAAGCUCCAUAAUCCGAGCCCUAGCCGCCAUUAGAGCACAAACCGGAUCUCGCCGAGCUCGUGCUCUAGCCUCCAUCACCGCGCGCCGUCUCUGCACCUUCUCGGCCCCAACCAAGCGCUUAGACGAGAUCGUGGUGAGCUCCUCUUCAUCCCGGUGUUUUCCUUUCGCGAAACGGUGCUCGGAAUCGAGAAGUCCGUCGUCGCCGGCGACCUCCAUUCGGCCGGCAAUGGAGCCACCGCACCGGAGCUGGUGACGGUCGGUUGAAAAAAAAAAUGCUUUUUCUGCUAUUUACAAGAUUGCCACUGAUUUUGUUUUGCUCAUAAAAUAUUCGUUUUAACUCCGUUUUUAUCCAUUCAAAUUGCGUCAGGUUCGUAAUUAUAUGCUCUACAUGUUAGAAAUAUUAGUUUACUGUUUUGAAACUUUUUAAUUCUGCAGUAGCAUUUAAUUAAUUAUUUCUCUAUAGGAAAUCUUAGAAAAUUCAUAUCUUUCACGUUUUAAUUCCGAUUUUCGUGAACUUUACGUUUGUGUGAUCGUAGCGCUGCGUAGAAUAUUUUGAUAAACUUUUAUAUUUGUUUUACCACUGUUUGGUGUAAUGUUCUAAUUUUACCUUGUUUGCUUUGUGUAUGAUUGUCUCCAUUGGAUUGCGUGUUGUUGAUUGAUGUUUGGGAAUAGACGGUGAGCCGUACGUUGGUGACCAAGACCAAGCUUUUGAGGACCAGCAGGCUCAGGAGAGCUUUG
rnacentral:lncRNA from 1 species